CAUAGUAAAUUAUAUAAUCAUCCAUUUGACUGGUUUGAACUCUGUUUAUUUUAUUUCUCAAAAAACUUGCUGAACUCUGCGGUUUGAAUUCUAUUUUUUUUGCUGAACUCUGUGAUUUGAAUUCUGUUUAUUUUAUUUCCCAAAUAAAUUGUUGCUUCAACUUGGUGGGUUCUUUUCUCCAUAUAUAUGCAUGCUCGAUUGAUUAUUUUUCAGCAUACCAUUCAUGAUGGAGGAGAUGUUCCGGUCUAUGAGUGACAUCAGACUAUCAGAUAUGGAAGUGGAUCCACCACCAAUCUUCAAUCAAAGGGCUUCUUUUCAAGAAGAAGGAAUGCCACAACGAAAUUUGAUAUUGUUGUAAAGUAUAACUUUUGAAAGGAAUGAAAUGAAGUAAAGCUUGACUUU